AGAGUUUGAUCCUGGCUCAGGAUGAACGCUAGCGGCAGGCUUAAUACAUGCAAGUCGUGGGGCAGCGCGGGUAGCAAUACCUGGCGGCGACCGGCAAACGGGUGAGGAACAUGUACGCAACCUUCCUUUAACUGGAGAAUAGCCCCUCGAAAGAGGGAUUAAUACUCCGUAACAUUGUGACACAGCAUUGUGUUAUAAUUAUAGCUCCGGCGGUUAAAGAUGGGCGUGCACCUGAUUAGAUUGUUGGCGGGGUAACGGCCCACCAAGUCUACGAUCAGUAACUGGUGUGAGAGCACGACCAGUCACACGGGCACUGAGACACGGGUCCGACUCCUACGGGAGGCAGCAGUAAGGAAUAUUGGUCAAUGGACGCAAGUCUGAACCAGCCAUGCCGCGUGGAGGAUUAAGGCCCUCUGGGUUGUAAACUCCUUUUAUCUGGGAAGAAAUGCUUCGAUUCCUCGAAGCUUGACGGUACCAGAGGAAUAAGCACCGGCUAACUCCGUGCCAGCCGCCGCGGUAAUUC
rnacentral:rRNA from 1 species